CCCCCCCCUCUUUCUCCUGAUCUGUCGCCGCCGCCGCGGAUCCGCCACCGCCGCGGAUCCUCCUCUACCACCGUCAUGCAGAGGCAGCGGCUUCGCCGCCCUCCUCCGGCAGUCCAGUCGUCUCCGGAAAACAGUAGAUCGGUGCUCCCUUCUCCCUCAUCUCUCUCUCUUCUCUCCCCUCUUCACCGUCGCGCCACCAUCGCCGCUGCGGAUCACCGCCGUCGCGGGUCCGCCCAGCCGUCGUCGCCGAGGAUCUCCCUCCCCCUCCAGCCGCCGACGCCGAUUUCCGAGAGGAGGAAACUCGGUUCAAGCUCGUGGUGUCCGAGUUAAAGUACCCGCUUUCUUAAAACAUACAUUGUAUAAAUUUAAGUUUUGUUGGAUGUAUCGAACAUUAAAAUUUUGAUUAUGGGACUUAUUUAUUAA